rnacentral:rRNA from 1 species
GUGUCAGCAGCCGCGGUAAUACAGGGGGGGCAAGCGUUGUUCGGAAUUACUGGGCGUAAAGGGUUCGUAGGUGGCUCACUAAGUCACACGUGAAAUCCCUCAGCUUAACUGGGGAACUGCGUGUGAAACUGGAGAGCUUGAGGGUAGGAGAGGAAUGCGGAAUUCCAGGUGUAGCGGUGAAAUGCGUAGAUAUCUGGAGGAACACCGGUGGCGAAGGCGGCAUUCUGGACUAUUUCUGACACUGAUGAACGAAAGCCAGGGGAGCAAACGGGAUUAGAUACCCCGGUAGUCC